CCUACGGGUGGCAGCAGUGGGGAAUAUUGCGCAAUGGGAGAAAGCCUGACGCAGCGACGCCGCGUGAGGGAUGAAGGUCUUCGGAUCGGAAACCUCUGUCAGCAGGGGAGAACGGUCACUGUGCUAAUCGGCAGUGAAUUGACGGUACCUGCAAAGGAAGCACCGGCUAACUCCGUGCCAGCCGCCGCGGUAAUACGGAGGGUGCGAGCGUUAAUCGGACUUACUGGGCGUAAAGCGCUCGUAGGCGGUAUGUUAAGUCAAGGGUGAAAUCCCCGCGCUCAACGUGGGGACUGCCUUUGAUACUGGAAAACUAGAGUGCGUGUGAGGAUAGUGGAAUUCGAGGUGUAGGAGUGAAAUCCGUAGAUAUCUGGCGGAACAUCAGUUGCGAAGGCGACUAUCUGGCACAUAACUGACGCUGAGGAGCGAAAGCGUGGGUAGCAAACAGGAUUAGAUACCCUAGUAGUC
rnacentral:rRNA from 1 species